ensembl:lncRNA
AUCUCCCUCCUCUUUAAUGUAUCUAUAAUAGACUGGUUCUCCCUCCUCCUCUCUAAUGUAUCUAUACUAUACUGGUUCUCCCUUCUCCUCCUCUCUAAGGCAUCUAUACUAGACUGGUUGUCCCUCUCCUCCUCUCUAAUGUAGCUAUACUCGACUUGUUCUCCCUCCUCCUCCUCUCUAAUGUGGCUAUACUAGACUGGUUCUACCUCCUCCUCUCUGAUGUAGCCGUACUAGACUGGAUCUCCCACCUCUUUAAUGGAGCUGUACUAGACUGGUUCUCCGUCCUCCGCCUCGUUAAUGUAGCUGUUCUAGACUGGUCCUCCCUCCUCCUCUCUAAUGUAUCUAUAAUAGACUGGUUCUCCCUCCUCCUCCUCUCUAAUGUAGCUAUACUAGACUGGUUCUCCCUCCUCCUCUCUAAUGUAUCUAUACUAUACUGGUUUUCCCUUCUCCUAUUCUCUAUAAUGUAUCUAUACUAGACUUGUUCUCCAUCCUCCUCCUCUCUAAUGUAUCUAUACUAGACUUGUUCUCCAUCCUCCUCCUCUCUAAUGUAUCUAUGCUUGACUGGUUCUCCCUCCUCCUCCUCUCUAAUGUAGCUGUACUAUAGUGGUUCUCCCUCCUCCUCCUCUCUAAUGUAGCUGUACUAUAGUGCUUCUCCCUCCUCCUCCUCUCUAAUAUAUCUAUACUAGAAUGGUUCUCCCUCCUCCUCCUCUCUAAUGUAUCAAUACUAAUCUGGUUUUCCCUCCGCCUCUCUAAUGUAGCUAUACUAGACUGGUUCUCCCUCCUCCUCUUUAAUGUAGCAAUACUAGACUGGUUCUCCCUCCUCCUCUCUGAUGUAGCUAUACUAGACUGGUUCUCCCUCCUCCUCUCUAACGUAUCUAUACUCCACUGGUUCUCCCUCCUCUCUAAUGUAGCUGUACUAGACUGGUUUUCCCUCCUCUCUAAUGUAUAUAUGCUUGACUGGUUCUCCCUCCUCCUCCUCUCUAAUGUAGCUAUACUAGACUAGUUAUCCCUCCUCCUCCUCUCUAAUGUAUCUAUACUAGGCUAGUUCUCCCUCUUCCUCCUCUCUAAUGUAUCUAUACUAGACUGGUUCUCCCUCCUCCUCCUCUCUAAUGUAGCUGUACUAUACUGGUUUUCCCUCCUCCUCUCUUAUGUAGCUGUACUAGACUGGUUCUCCCUCCUCCUCCUCUCUUAUGUAGCUGUACUAGACUGGUUCUCCCUCCUCCUCCUCUCUAAUGUAUCUAUACUAGACUGGUUUUCCCCCCU